rnacentral:rRNA from 1 species
AUUGAACGCUGGCGGCAGGCCUAACACAUGCAAGUCGAGCGGAUGAAGGGAGCUUGCUCCUGGAUUCAGCGGCGGACGGGUGAGUAAUGCCUAGGAAUCUGCCUGGUAGUGGGGGAUAACGUCCGGAAACGGGCGCUAAUACCGCAUACGUCCUGAGGGAGAAAGUGGGGGAUCUUCGGACCUCACGCUAUCAGAUGAGCCUAGGUCGGAUAGCUAGUUGGUGGGGUAAAGGCCUACCAAGGCGACGAUCCGUAACUGGUCUGAGAGGAUGAUCAGUCACACUGGAACUGAGACACGGUCCAGACUCCUACGGGAGGCAGCAGUGGGGAAUAUUGGACAAUGGGCGAAAGCCUGAUCCAGCCAUGCCGCGUGUGUGAAGAAGGUCUUCGGAUUGUAAAGCACUUUAAGUUGGGAGGAAGGGCAGUAAGUUAAUACCUUGCUGUUUUGACGUUACCAACAGAAUAAGCACCGGCUAACUUCGUA